rnacentral:misc_RNA from 1 species
AGGUGCCGUCGAUGCACGCGAGCGGUACGCCCAAGCGGUAGUCCGACAGGACCUGGACGCUCGCAUAGUGGGGCGUUCCGGCCGGCACAGUGGCGGCCGGCACGCCCAUGAUGUUAUGGAAGAUGCCGAGAUUCCUGCGCUUCCAGCAGCCCAGGGUUCCGAUGAAGAACGCAG